CUCGCAUCCGCUGCCUCUCCACGAACGAAGCGAUGUCGUUUAUAUCGAUAUGGUUUAAUGUUGCGUUAUGUGACCGAUUCCUUCUGUAAAGCCGUGCCUGUGUUUGGAUCUCUCCUCCGCGCAGCCCCGCCCCCAAUCACUCACACACGGCACCCCUGCAGCAGUUUGGACCAAACUGCUGACAUUUGUUUACAGUUUCAAUUGUUAUUAACACAGCUAUAUAUUGUUAAUUAUGAGAGGGAAACCUGUAUUGGUACCAGUGUUUACGCUGGUAACUCUCUGUUAUUGCGGCCGCCACGGCGAAAAACACAUUAGAAGUUAUUAAAUGCAACUAGCUUGAGUUGGUUGAG